GAGUUUAAUCGUGGCUCAGAUUGAACGCUGGCGGCAUGCCUUACACAUGCAAGUCGAACGGCAGCAUGAUCUAGCUUGCUAGAUUGAUGGCGAGUGGCGAACGGGUGAGUAAUACAUCGGAACGUGCCCUGUAGUGGGGGAUAACUAGUCGAAAGAUUAGCUAAUACCGCAUACGACCUGAGGGUGAAAGUGGGGGACCGCAAGGCCUCAUGCUAUAGGAGCGGCCGAUGGUCUGAUUAGCUAGUUGUGGGUAAAGGCCACCAAGGCGACGAUCAGUAGCUGGUCUGAGAGGACGAUCAGCCACACUGGGACUGAGACACGGCCCAGACUCCUAC
rnacentral:rRNA from 1 species